GAAAGCUUUGAGAAGCAAGAAGAA
rnacentral:snRNA from 1 species